UACGGGGGGGGCAAGCGUUGUUCGGAAUUACUGGGUGUAAAGGGCUCGUAGGCGGCCAACUAAGUCAGACGUGAAAUCCCUCGGCUUAACCGGGGAACUGCAUCUGAUACUGGAUGGCUUGAGUUCGGGAGAGGGAUGCGGAAUUCCAGGUGUAGCGGUGAAAUGCGUAGAUAUCUGGAGGAAUACCGGUGGCGAAGGCGGCAUCCUGGACCGGCAUUGACGCUGAGUGAGCGAAAGCCAGGGGAGCAAAGCGGG
rnacentral:rRNA from 1 species